rnacentral:lncRNA from 1 species
GUUUGAAGGACGGAGUUGUAUGCUUGUACCUUUUGGGGGAGGGGAGGGGAACUGGUGACCUGGAGUGAGAAGUUAACAGAAAAAGUGCGCAGGAGAGUGUGGAUAAUAUAGGAAUAGGACUACUUUGUUAGAGGAAAGGGUUGCUGGAAUAACAGAUGUGCCAGAUCUUAAAACCAGAAGUUUUGUCUUUCACCUUCAUCAUGUUUAGUAAGGAUAUGAGACUUGGUGGUUUUGAGACUCCUCCUGAAUCCCACGAAGAUAUUUUAGCUGCUGCUGUUUGUGAUCAGGUAUGUUCAGAUAUAGCUUAAGGGACUAUCGUAACGCACCAACACUAGGAGUUGAAAGGCCUGCCUAAAAGAAAGGAAAAUGUACCAGCUGGAAGAGCUGGUUCAGAAGACAUUUCUCAAUAACAGCACUUGUUGGAGAUAAGUGUCCAACAUCUUUCAUUCACUACCCCCCUGCAUGAAAUAAACUCCAUUCUGUAGUUCA